rnacentral:rRNA from 1 species
ACACGGACCAAGGAGUCUAACAUGCGUGCAAGUCUACGGGGCCUUGCAAACCCCAAUGGGCGCAAUGAAGGUGAAGACGAGGUCUUGGCCUGUCUUGGUAGGAUCCCGGUUCUCCUAGGAGGCUGGGCGCACUGCCGGCCCGUCCAAUGGUCGCUACGCCGACCGGGCGGAGCUAGAGCACGCACGUUGGGACCCGAAAGAUGGUGAACUAUGCUUGGGCAGGACGAGGCCAGAGGAAACUCUGGUGGAAGUCCGUAGCGAUUCUGACGUGCAAAUCGAUCGUCGGACCUGAGUAUAGGGGCGAAAGACUAAUCGAACCAUCUAGUAGCUG